GUGUACAGUAGGUUGUUUAAAUCUAACAGUAUUGGUCAAUGGGAUUCCAAUGGUGCUAUUUGUCUUCUAAGAAAUCAUUUACCGUGUCCUGAUGGUUGGGUGGCAUUCAGUGGUUCGUGUUAUUUAUAUACUGGUAAAAUUGUUGGAUCUUAUGAGAGAGCUACACAGCUAUGUAAUGGGGGACGCAGUAACCUGGUAACCAUAGAAACAAAAGAAGAAAAUGAUUUUGUACAUGAAUUUGUGAAGCAGAUGGAAAAUGGAACAGCCCAGAAUCUUUAUUUGGGUUAUAAAUAUAGCAGUAACCAUGAUAAAUUCACUUGGAUUGAUGGUUCAUCUACUGGUUACUCAAACUGGGCUUCCGGCAAUGGUCUGGGUAACCUCAACAAGGGCGGAUGUGCGAGAAUGAGAUCAUGGGACACUGAGCAUGCGUGGGAAAAUACAAACUGUGAUAAUAGUUGGCUAUACAUUGUUUGUAAAGCUAAAAUGAACUAAAAUAAGAAUUUAAAUAAUAUAAUAAGGAAACUAAUACGUCGAUAAUUAUUGUAAUUACAAUCAAGCAAUCUAGGAAUAUCUCUAUAUUAAUUAUAACAUCUGUUUAUUAUUUAAUAUGGGGAAUCUGAAAUCUCCUAUAAAAACAUAUAUAUGACAAUUUAAAUGUUGCGCAAACACAUAAUUGUACCCGGAUGUCGAUAAUGACACAUUGAUAUUGAUAAUAACAACAUGUAGUUAUACUCGUUUGUUGCUAAUAAGUAGGA